rnacentral:rRNA from 1 species
GAUGAACGCUGGCGGUGUGCCUAAUACAUGCAAGUCGAGCGAACAGACGAGGAGCUUACUCCUCUGACGUUAGCGGCGGACGGGUGAGUAACACGUGGAUAACCUACCUAUAAGACUGGGAUAACUUCGGGAAACCGGAGCUAAUACCGGAUAACAUGUUGAACCGCAUGGUUCAACAGUGAAAGACGGUCUUGCUGUCACUUAUAGAUGGAUCCGCGUCGCAUUAGCUAGUUGGUAAGGUAACGGCUUACCAAGGCAACGAUGCGUAGCCGACCUGAGAGGGUGAUCGGCCACCCUGGAACUGAGACACGGUCCAGACUCCUACGGGAGGCAGCAGUAGGGAAUCUUCCGCAAUGGGCGAAAGCCUGACGGAGCAACGCCGCGUGAGUGAAGAAGGUCUUCGGAUCGUAAAACUCUGUUAUUAGGGAAGAACAAAUGUGUAAGUAACUAUGCACGUCUUGACGGUACCUAAUCAGAAAGCCACGGCUAACUACGU